GCCCCAGCUAGGCAGGGCCGCAAUCCUGCCGAAAAGUCGGCCACCUUCACCGACCUGCUGGGGCACCUUAUGAGGG
rfam:Acidovorax sp. NO-1 contig144, whole genome shotgun sequence.